GACGAACGCUGGCGGCGUGCUUAACACAUGCCAGUCGAGCGGAAAGGCCCUGCUUUUGUGGGGUGCUCGAGUGGCGAACGGGUGAGUAACACGUGAGUAACCUGCCCUUGACUUUGGGAUAACUUCAGGAAACUGGGGCUAAUACCGGAUAGGAGCUCCUGCUGCAUGGUGGGGGUUGGAAAGUUUCGGCGGUUGGGGCUGGACUGGCGGCUUAUCAGCUUGUUGGUGGGGUAGUGGCUUACCAAGGCUUUGACGGGUAGCCGGCCUGAGAGGGUGACCGGGCACCUUGGGACUGAGAUAGGGCGCAGAAUCCUACGGGCGGCAGGAGGGGGAAAUAUUGCACAAUGGGCGGAAGCGUGAUGCAGCAACGCCGCGUGCGGAAUGACGGGCUUCGGGUUGUAAACCGCUUUCGCCUGUGACGAAGCGUGAGUGACGGUAAUGGGUAAAGAAGCAACGGCUAACUACGUG
rnacentral:rRNA from 1 species